AUUGAACGCUGGCGGCAGGCCUAACACAUGCAAGUCGAACGGUAACAGGAAACAGCUUGCUGUUUCGCUGACGAGUGGCGGACGGGUGAGUAAUGUCUGGGAAACUGCCUGAUGGAGGGGGAUAACUACUGGAAACGGUAGCUAAUACCGCAUAACGUCGCAAGACCAAAGAGGGGGACCCUCGGGCCUCUUGCUAUCGGAUGUGCCCAGAUGGGAUUAGCUUGUUGGUGGGGUAACGGCUCACCAAGGCGACGAUCCCUAGCUGGUCUGAGAGAUGACCAGCCACACUGGAACUGAGACACGGUCCAGACUCCUACGGUGGCAGCAGUGGGGAAUAUUGCACAAUGGGCGCAAGCCUGAUGCAGCCAUGCCGCGUGUAUGAAGAA
rnacentral:rRNA from 1 species